UCGGCUUUCACGCCCCCAACGCGUUUGACGUUUCAGACAAAUGUCAACCUCAGAAAUUGACAUUCUGCUAGAAAAGUUAAAUACGUUUUUCAAUUAUUGCGACAGAGUUUCUUCGCUAUUAGACGAAAGAAUGCCGGACGCAAGUGUGAAAAAGGACUUUAGUGUCCAGCAAUACUUCGCGCAGCAAAUGGAAGAGGAUAAGAGUAUGUCGUCGGGAAUUGCAGCGAUUAAAACAUUAUUGAUGGUUCUAGAGAGGACGAAGUUUGAUACUGUACACAUUUUACACUCUACAAUUCAAGAAGCUGUGAAAGAAAUGAGGAAUACUGAUUUAUCACAAGCGGCUAUCGUGUCGGGAACAGAACUCUUCAUGCGUUUUAUAACACUUGCCAAAUUUGAUGAUAAGCCUAUGGAAGAAUGUAAGCAGAUUAUGUUACAUAGGGGCAAGAUCUUUUUGGAGAAGUUGCUACAGUCACGGAGUACAAUCGCACAUCAAGCGCUACAAUUUGUUACGGAUGGGUGUCGAAUCCUCACCCACUCACGAUCUCGAGUAGUGCUACAAGCUUUAAUUGAUGCCCAUACGAAAUCCAACAAGCAAUUCCAGGUGUUUGUAACACACGGUGGCCCUGACAACGCCGGAGACCAGAUGGUUGCGGAAUUAGAAAAAGUCGGAAUCGAUGCUAUCUUAAUCCUUGAUUCAGCCGUAGGAUAUGUAAUGGAAAGUGUUGAUUUGGUGAUGGUAGGUGCGGAAGGAGUAGUCGAAAGCGGUGGAAUUAUAAAUCGUAUUGGCAGCUUUACAAUGGCGCUGUGCGCUAGGGAAAUGAAGAAGCCAUUCUAUGUGUUAGCGGAAAGUUUCAAGUUCACAAGACUUUAUCCUUUAAAUCAAAGAGAUUUGCCAGUGGAAUAUAAGUAUAUAAAACGACAACGGGACAACUUCAAGGCUCAUCCAAUGGUCGACUACACGCCACCCGCAUACAUUACACUUCUCUUCACCGAUUUAGGAAUCCUUACGCCAUCUGCCGUUAGUGACGAAUUGAUUAAACUGUAUUUAGAUAAAUCAAAAGUUCCAUGACCAACCAACUUGAAUUCGCCCCCAUUAUCAUUCAAGCCCAAGCUCUCUGACUGUCUUACGGACUUUUAACUCUUGACCGAGUGGCCAAAAAAUUCAGCAUGAGAGCUUCAACUACUGUGUAGAUUUCAUCGAAAUGUGGACGAGAUUCUGGUUCGGCAGACCAACAUUUUAACAUGAGACGGUACAUUUCGGGCGGUGUAUUUUCCGGUGCUGGCAUUCGAUACCCUUUGGG